GACCUUGUGGCCUAACGGAUAAGGUGUCUGACUUUCGGAUCAGAAGAUUGCAGGUUCAAGUCCUGCCAGGGUCG